rnacentral:rRNA from 1 species
GAUCCUGGCUCAGGACGAACGCUGGCGGCGUGCCUAAUACAUGCAAGUAGAACGCUGAAGAGAGGAGCUUGCUCUUCUUGGAUGAGUUGCGAACGGGUGAGUAACGCGUAGGUAACCUGCCUUGUAGCGGGGGAUAACUAUUGGAAACGAUAGCUAAUACCGCAUAACAAUGAAUGACUCAUGUCAUUUAUUUGAAAGGGGCAAUUGCUCCACUACAAGAUGGACCUGCGUUGUA